rnacentral:rRNA from 1 species
AUGGAGCAAGCGGUGGAGAGAUUCCUCUGGUCUUCAUGUUCCAUUUGGGGCAUGCAUCGAAUCAACCCCCCAGUCCUCAUCGAAGACUCACUCUACUUCAUACUUUCAUAUUAUGUUGAUGUUUGCAUAGGAAUUCUCAAGUACGACUUGAGCUCUAAUUGCUUAUCACUGCUUGAUGGGCCGCAAGUGGAGGAUGUCUUUGUCGGUGCGACCAUACUCAUGGCCACGGAGGACGACAGUUUGGGUCUUGCACACAUGGAUAGAUUAACCCUCUACUUGUGGUCAAGACAGAUGGGUUCCAAUGGAGUUGCAUCAUGGACUCAACGAACAAUCAUCGACCUCAAAAACCUUCUCCCCGUUCGAAAUCCUGAGAGAAGACCUAGACUAAUUGGAUCUGUGGAGGGCAGUGAUAUCCUUUUUGUGACUGUAGACCUUGGCGUCUAUGAGAUUAAUCUCAAUUCACUAAGGUGGAAGACCAUAUGGAAGACUGGAAGUUUACGUGCUUUGUUUCCAUACAUGAGUUUUUACAAUCCAAAAGAAAGGGAGGAUACUAAAUAA